AAUCCAUAGGUUAAUGAGGCGAACCGGGGGAACUGAAACAUCUAAGUACCCCGAGGAAAAGAAAUCAACCGAGAUUCCCCCAGUAGCGGCGAGCGAACGGGGAGGAGCCCAGAGCCUGAAUCAGCAUGUGUGUUAGUGGAAGCGUCUGGAAAGGCGCGCGAUACAGGGUGACAGCCCCGUACACAAAAGCGCAUGUGCUGUGAGCUCGAUGAGUAGGGCGGGACACGUGGUAUCCUGUCUGAAUAUGGGGGGACCAUCCUCCAAGGCUAAAUACUCCUGACUGACCGAUAGUGAACCAGUACCGUGAGGGAAAGGCGAAAAGAACCCCGGCGAGGGGAGUGAAAAAGAACCUGAAACCGUGUACGUACAAGCAGUGGGAGCCCCACCACCAAAGCAUUUGCUGUACCGCGUUGACGGAGCGAAGCGACGUCAAACCGAUAAAACAGCAGUGUAAAGUGAGCCGCAGGGCGCUUUGCGCGACAGCGCAAAGGCAGGCGGUUUCGCGUAGCGAAAGCGAAUGCUUUGGGGUGGGGUGACUGCGUACCUUUUGUAUAAUGGGUCAGCGACUUAUAUUCUGUAGCAAGGUUAACCGAAUAGGGGAGCCGGAGGGAAACCGAGUCUUAAUUGGGCGUUAAGUUGCAGGGUAUAGACCCGAAACCCGGUGAUCUAGCCAUGGGCAGGUUGAAGGUUGGGUAACACUAACUGGAGGACCGAACCGACUAAUGUUGAAAAAUUAGCGGAUGACCUGUGGCUGGGGGUGAAAGGCCAAUCAAACCGGGAGAUAGCUGGUUCUCCCCGAAAGCUAUUUAGGUAGCGCCUCGUGAAUUCAUCUCCGGGGGUAGAGCACUGUUUCGGCUAGGGGGCCAUCCCGGCUUACCAACCCGAUGCAAACUGCGAAUACCGGAGAAUGUUAUCACGGGAGACACACGGCGGGUGCUAACGUCCGUCGUGAAGAGGGAAACAACCCAGACCGCCAGCUAAGGUCCCAAAGUCAUGGUUAAGUGGGAAACGAUGUGGGAAGGCCCAGACAGCCAGGAUGUUGGCUUAGAAGCAGCCAUCAUUUAAAGAAAGCGUAAUAGCUCACUGGUCGAGUCGGCCUGCGCGGAAGAUGUAACGGGGCUAAACCAUGCACCGAAGCUGCGGCAGCGACACUGUGUGUUGUUGGGUAGGGGAGCGUUCUGUAAGCCUGUGAAGGUGUGUCGUGAGGCAUGCUGGAGGUAUCAGAAGUGCGAAUGCUGACAUAAGUAACGAUAAAGCGGGUGAAAAGCCCGCUCGCCGGAAGACCAAGGGUUCCUGUCCAACGUUAAUCGGGGCAGGGUGAGUCGACCCCUAAGGCGAGGCCGAAAGGCGUAGUCGAUGGGAAACGGGUUAAUAUUCCCGUACUUGGUGUUACUGCGAAGGGGGGACGGAGAAGGCUAUGUUGGCCGGGCGACGGUUGUCC
rnacentral:rRNA from 1 species